CUUUCCACCGAAAAAAAUAAAAUAUGGCCCUCCUCUACCCUCCCCGUCCUGUGGUUAGGGUUCACUGCCGCCACGCCGCCGGAUCCUCCUCUCCCCAUGCCGCCAGACAGCCGGGCGCUGGCCGACAUGGAGCCGACUGCAGGGAUGAGGGACCCUGUGUUGGCCAUGCCGGCGUAGAUGCGCGAGGCGGCUACCAAGCGUCGCCUCAGCCCUCAGGACGCCGGGGACCCACCGUUGCAUCCGGAUGCCAGCGACCCAACAUCGUAGCCGAUCUUCACCGACUAGAUCCUAGGUGAGAUCUUCCUCCGCUUCGACUCGGCGGCCGACCUCGCACGCGCGUCCAUUUUUACUCAUUCAAUCGCGAGGCCGGGGAACACAACGCCUGAGGCACGCCGCUGGCGAUGGCCUGGUCCCGGCCAUCGGUUCACCUGCUGCUGCAUAGGAGAUUUAUCUGAAACUUGCCGAAUUACAGGAGACAGACCUUGGCCGGCCAAUUGUGACUAAUUCCCAGUUUUCUUGGUAACUAAUCACUUUGUCAUUGUUUAUUUUUCUACUCACCCUAUGAGCAGAUUGUAAUUUUUGUUUUAUUAUUCAAUUACAUCUGUCGGUUGCUUGAGCAUCCAUUCACAUCCAUCCCAACACUGGCUGCGGUGAGCAACCAUAAAUUUACUGACCUCCUUGUGAUUACGUAUGAGGAUGUGGGAGUUUGGAAGUACUCAUGUCAUCUUUUUUUUAGUAUCAAGUACUCAUAUCAUCUGAAUGCCAGUUAUUACAACAGGCUGCAUUGCUUUUUAGUCGGAUCAUACUAUAUCUAUGCCCUAGGAUCACACUAUAUCUAUAUAUACCUGGAUCAUGUUCUACCGUAGACCAAUGUCAUAAUUUAUUUAUUCUAGGAUUUUUUUUGCCGACAAUACAUUUUAAAUUUUAUAUGUCAUAGAUCAUAGUAAAAAAUUGAUAUCUUUCUUUUUCUGAUCUCUUAACUUAGAUUCAUGUUAUGAGACUUCAAUAUAUUCACUGUACAGAAUUCUCGUAAAUCAUAUACACUAUUUCAUGCUACAUGUCAAGACAUUACUGACGGUCAAAUAUGCUUUUGAGUGACUGAUUUUGACUUUGUGCAGAUGAGCAAUAUGCCCUUUCUUGCUUGCAGAAUGAGCUGUUAUCCUGUUAAUGAGUUGUUAUGUGCUGAAGUCGACUAUAUGCAAAUAAUGAUAUGCCCUUUCUUUCUUUUUGAAUAAUGAUAUGCCCUUUCUUUCUUUUUGUCACAUGGUUUUUAGUAUUACUGAUUAGUCCAUCUUAUUUGGUCCAGUGGCUCUUGUAGGAUAUUAUUUCGUCAUUAAUCUUGUAACAAAAAGAAGCAGCAGCAGCCUUUUCUGUUUAGAGCAACUUGAUGUAGGCAUCCUUAGUCUGACCAAUGUCAAAAUUGUGAUAAAUUUCCUUUUUUAUUCCUUCAGCUCUAUGACCCCUUUUCGGUGGGUCAAGUUGGAUGGUGUCAAAAUUGUAAAUGAAUGGCUUGAGGACAACUUGUAUUGGACUAAGGUGCUUUAGACGGGUGAGGUGGUGCUGACCCUAAACACUUGGAAGAGCCAGAGGACGGCAUCUCGCAAGGUCGCGGGGCAUCAAAGGAGGACAAGGUGCAACAAGACUGAACUGAAAGCUGUUGUCUCAGAUGUGAAAUGUGACUACCCAAAGGAGAAGAAGCUUUAGCGAGAGGAACCAAAAGGUUAGAGGAUUUCACUUCCCUGAUUGGUCCAGAGGAGGAGGUAGUUGCCAAGUUUUGGAGGGAGACAACAAAGAGGACGAACUGGAGGCUGAUUCUUCUGAUGCAACCACUGGGUCUGUAGCUGUGUUGGUUUAGAGAUGCAAUGAUCCUAACAUGGACGAAAUGGUGCUUGUCAUGGAGGAACAGUUCACAAAGCCCCACAAAGUCAAAGGCCUGGAAAGAAUUGAGGACCUUGUGGUGCGGAGGGUGUACAGGUUUGAUGCCUAACCAUCCCUCCACGGCAAGGGAUGUUGAUGAAGCAGAAGUUGCAGCAUGCUUGGAGGAGAUUCAGGAGAAACAGAGAGAUUCAGUAGAAACAGAUAUAGAAGUUGCAACAUGAAGCCUAACAGUUCGUGAGUUUAUUUUUUUUAAUUUUUUUCUUUUGUUUUUAAGCAAUUUUUUUUUUGUUCACACAUGCGAGUACAACUUGAUCGCUGCUUGGUGGCAUCGACCGCCCAUGAGCUCAGUAGGAAGGCCGGCAGCCGCAAAAGCUCAAGAAUUGAGUAGUUUUGAGUGGAGCGAAAUAAACUUGUGCAUGAACAUUCAUGCUUCGCCAAUGUCAUGUCAAAGACUCGAGUAUUUUUUUCAAGUUUUGUGUCAAGAGUUGUGUCAAGAGUCUUGUCGUGAGUCUUGCCUUGUCCAUGGGCUGAUUUUGCUAGAUGAAUUGUCUCUUUGGAACA